rnacentral:rRNA from 1 species
UCGAACGAGAACGGAUUAUAGCUUGCUAUAAUUGUCAGCUAAGUGGCGCACGGGUGAGUAAUGUAUAGAUAACCUGCCCUUAAGAAAGGAAUAACAGUUGGAAACGACUGCUAAUGCCCUAUAUGCCUUUAAUACAUAAGUAUGCAAGGGAAACGCUUUAGUGCUUAAGGAUGGGUCUGUAUGGUAUCAGCUUGUUGGUGAGGUAAUGGCUCACCAAGGCUAUGACGCCUAACUGGUUUGAGAGGAUGAUCAGUCACACUGGAACUGAGACACGGUCCAGACUCCUACGGGAGGCAGCAGUGGGGAAUAUUGCACAAUGGACGAAAGUCUGAUGCAGCAACGCCGCGUGGAGGAUGACACAUUUCGGUGCGUAAACUCCUUUUAUAUAGGAA